UAAUCUUUUCUGUUAAGCUUCAGCUCUAGGCUCGGCUUGGGGCACGAGUGGAGCUUAGGAAUGUCACUGCUGCUACGAGUCCAGCAGAGAGCAGCAGCGGCUAGGGGCAUUGGCAGAGCUUAGUGACAUCACCGCUGCUGCUCCCUGCUUGGUCCCGCUGCUAAAGAACAGCAGUGGUGAUGUCCCUAUGCUCCGCCCAUGCACCAAGCUGGCCAGAGCUGAAGCUUAACAGAGAAGAUCACCGGAGAUUCCCGCCACUGAACGGGAAAAGGUAAGUACCGUUGUCACCAGUGUCACCUGCACUAUCUGUCAGUACCGCCACUUUUGUGUAGGUGACACUGGUGACAUAUUUCCAUUAAAAACAAUAAAAGAAAAAGAAGGUUAAUAAAAUAAUUAAAAAAGAAAAAAACUUCUACAAAAAUAUCCCUAAAAAAACAUAUUUGGUAUGAAAUAUAAAAUUAAGAAAGUAGAAAAAAUAUAUAAAAAUUCCCCCAAAAACUAUAUAACCCCAUACAAAUCCCUCACAAUGCCAUAACCAUGCACUGCCUGUCAGAAUAAUGCUAAGAGGAAUAAUACACUGCACCACAAUAGUAGUGCAGUGUUUUAUAGAAAUAAUCAGAUCUUUGGUGAAAGGUUGCCCUCUAAUGGGAAUAUGGGUGAAAAAAACAACCCAUAAAAUAAAAGUGUAAUAACAUGAUUUAUUAACCCCCCCCUCUCCCCCACCAACAAAAAAAAGAAAAAGAAAACAGUAGAAAGGCAGAAAUGCUUUUGAAAAAAGAAAUACACAAUAAUAAUUUAUAAAAUGUUCUGCCCCCUCCCCCAAAGAAAACAUAUAUUACCCUUAAAAUGUAUGAAUAAAUAAAUGAAAAUUAAGACAUAACCCAAACAUUACAAAAGCAAACCCUCCAAAAACCUGUCAAUAGUCUGCGUCAACAUCAUCCUGGGAUGAUGGGAGGAGUAGUACACUGCACUACUAUAGAAAUAAAAAUCCCUAUCAUCUAAAUCCCAAUGUGUUCCAUUUUUUUUUGUUCCUUUUUCUUAUGCGGUUUCAUAAUCCCUGAGAUAAGUAGUUAUGGCCCUAGAGUGUUAUAUAUAUUAGCGUCUGUAGCAUGUAUCAGGAACAUGUUAUCAUACCUGUGUCUUUUUACAGGUGACUGAUGUUCGGUGAGAAGGUGAAAGUGACCUAUACCCCCGUCAACUGCAAGAAAGGAACCACAGGACAGGUGACUGAUGUUCGGUGAGAAGGUGAAAGUGACCUAUACCCCCGUCAACUGCAAGAAAGGAACCACAGGACAGGUAAUUAAUAUUUAUAUUAAUUACUGAUAACAAUCAGGCUAGAUGUAAUAUCUAGACCUGCAGAGAUGUCAUAGUCUCCACCUUAUACAUGAACAUAUAUGUGUUGUUAAUAAGCAUAUCGUCUAUGGACAGCUUCUUAUAUAACACAACCAUGUCUCAGGUACAGAGAAUAGGAACAUUUAUGAUCCUUAAUAUCUGUUUUUUAUUUGUAGGAAUUCCUUUAUCAAUAUUUAAUAGAAUAGACCCAACUUACCCCAAGGUUUACAAGUUUCCUUUGGACAAACUGACUGCAGAUUUAGAACAUAACUGUAAUGUAAAGAAAAAUCUAUAAUUUGUUUUUGCUACAAAUAUAUAAUUAUAAAAAUAAUGAGAAUUAAAAAACUAUAUAUUAAAAGACUAGAGCCAUAAUAAUACAUAGCCUGUUGAAAUAAUCAUGAAGCGCAUAAUACACUGCACUUUAAUACUAGUGCAGUGUAUUAUAUGAGCGAUCUUAAGAUCGCUGUUAAAAGUCCCCUUUGUAAAAAAAAACGUAAAGGCUAGCUAGGAAUUUUCAUCCGGAAUAACUAUUGCCGGAGGUUCCAAGCGUACAUUACCGUCAUCAUAGAUGGCAAUGUAUUCUGCCCGGAUCCUAUGUAAAUGAAGUUAAAAAUAAACAAUUUAUAAAAUAAUUCACCCCACCCAAACCCCUACAAAAAAAUAAAUGUUUAUAUAAAAAAGAAUAAAAAAAAAUAACCCAUUUCUCCCCUCACAUAAGCUAUAAUUAAAAAUCGUCUGUCAACAUAAUGCUGACAGCGAUAAUACACUGCACUAUAACACUAUUGCAAUGUAUUAUAUGGGUGAUCACAAGAUCACUGGGGAAAGGCCUCUCAUCGAAUUUGUUAAAAAAAAGACCAAAAAAUAAAAAAUAAAGAAAAAAAAGUAAAAAAAAAUAUUCAAACAGAACACCCUAAAAAAAAACAUAAUAAAAAAAGAAAAAAAAAUUUUAAACCAAAAACCCGAAAUAAAACCCCUGACAAUACUGUAACCAUACAUUGUCUUUUAGAAUAAUGACAAGAGGCGUAAGACACUAGUGCAGUGUAUUAUUACAUAGCUAUCGAAAGAUUGCUGCUCAAAGUCCCUUGAUGGGAAUAGUUAAAGGAAAUUUGUCACCAGUUUCACCUGCACUAACCUGUCGGUACCAACAGAUAGUGCAGGUGACACUAAUGACAAAGGUCCUUGCCUUGUCCCGUUCCGUGGAGGGGAUCUCCGGUAAUCUUCUCUGUUAAGCUUCAGCUCUAGGCCCGGCUUGGGGCACGAGUGGAGCUUAGGAAUGUCACUGCUGCUACGAGUCCAGCAGAGAGCAGCAGCGGCUAGGGGCAUUGGCAGAGCUUAGUGACAUCACCGCUGCUGCUCCCUGCUUGGUCCCGCUGCUAAAGAACAGCAGUGGUGAUGUCCCUAUGCUCCGCCCAUGCACCAAGCUGGCCAGAGCUGAAGCUUAACAGAGAAGAUCACCGGAGAUUCCCGCCACUGAACGGGAAAAGGUAAGUACCGUUGUCACCAGUGUCACCUGCACUAUCUGUCAGUACCGCCACUUUUGUGUAGGUGACACUGGUGACAUAUUUCCAUUAAAAACAAUAAAAGAAAAAGAAGGUUAAUAAAAUAAUUAAAAAAGAAAAAAACUUCUACAAAAAUAUCCCUAAAAAAACAUAUUUGGUAUGAAAUAUAAAAUUAAGAAAGUAGAAAAAAUAUAUAAAAAUUCCCCCAAAAACUAUAUAACCCCAUACAAAUCCCUCACAAUGCCAUAACCAUGCACUGCCUGUCAGAAUAAUGCUAAGAGGAAUAAUACACUGCACCACAAUAGUAGUGCAGUGUUUUAUAGAAAUAAUCAGAUCUUUGGUGAAAGGUUGCCCUCUAAUGGGAAUAUGGGUGAAAAAAACAACCCAUAAAAUAAAAGUGUAAUAACAUGAUUUAUUAACCCCCCCCCCUCCCCCACCAACAAAAAAAAGAAAAAGAAAACAGUAGAAAGGCAGAAAUGCUUUUGAAAAAAGAAAUACACAAUAAUAAUUUAUAAAAUGUUCUGCCCCCUCCCCCAAAGAAAACAUAUAUUACCCUUAAAAUGUAUGAAUAAAUAAAUGAAAAUUAAGACAUAACCCAAACAUUACAAAAGCAAACCCUCCAAAAACCUGUCAAUAGUCUGCGUCAACAUCAUCCUGGGAUGAUGGGAGGAGUAGUACACUGCACUACUAUAGAAAUAAAAAUCCCUAUCAUCUAAAUCCCAAUGUGUUCCAUUUUUUUUUGUUCCUUUUUCUUAUGCGGUUUCAUAAUCCCUGAGAUAAGUAGUUCUGGCCCUAGAGUGUUAUAUAUAUUAGCGUCUGUAGCAUGUAUCAGGAACAUGUUAUCAUACCUGUGUCUUUUUACAGGUGACUGAUGUUCGGUGAGAAGGUGAAAGUGACCUAUACCCCCGUCAACUGCAAGAAAGGAACCACAGGACAGGUGACUGAUGUUCGGUGAGAAGGUGAAAGUGACCUAUACCCCCGUCAACUGCAAGAAAGGAACCACAGGACAGGUAAUUAAUAUUUAUAUUAAUUACUGAUAACAAUCAGGCUAGAUGUAAUAUCUAGACCUGCAGAGAUGUCAUAGUCUCCACCUUAUACAUGAACAUAUAUGUGUUGUUAAUAAGCAUAUCGUCUAUGGACAGCUUCUUAUAUAACACAACCAUGUCUCAGGUACAGAGAAUAGGAACAUUUAUGAUCCUUAAUAUCUGUUUUUUAUUUGUAGGAAUUCCUUUAUCAAUAUUUAAUAGAAUAGACCCAACUUACCCCAAGGUUUACAAGUUUCCUUUGGACAAACUGACUGCAGAUUUAGAACAUAACUGUAAUGUAAAGAAAAAUCUAUAAUUUGUUUUUGCUACAAAUAUAUAAUUAUAAAAAUAAUGAGAAUUAAAAAACUAUAUAUUAAAAGACUAGAGCCAUAAUAAUACAUAGCCUGUUGAAAUAAUCAUGAAGCGCAUAAUACACUGCACUUUAAUACUAGUGCAGUGUAUUAUAUGAGCGAUCUUAAGAUCGCUGUUAAAAGUCCCCUUUGUAAAAAAAAACGUAAAGGCUAGCUAGGAAUUUUCAUCCGGAAUAACUAUUGCCGGAGGUUCCAAGCGUACAUUACCGUCAUCAUAGAUGGCAAUGUAUUCUGCCCGGAUCCUAUGUAAAUGAAGUUAAAAAUAAACAAUUUAUAAAAUAAUUCACCCCACCCAAACCCCUACAAAAAAAUAAAUGUUUAUAUAAAAAAGAAUAAAAAAAAAUAACCCAUUUCUCCCCUCACAUAAGCUAUAAUUAAAAAUCGGCUGUCAACAUAAUGCUGACAGCGAUAAUACACUGCACUAUAACACUAUUGCAAUGUAUUAUAUGGGUGAUCACAAGAUCACUGGGGAAAGGCCUCUCAUCGAAUUUGUUAAAAAAAAGACCAAAAAAUAAAAAAUAAAGAAAAAAAAGUAAAAAAAAA